rnacentral:rRNA from 1 species
UGGGGAAUAUUGCACAAUGGGGGAAACCCUGAUGCAGCGACGCCGCGUGAGCGAAGAAGGCUUUCGAGUCGUAAAGCUCUGUCCUAUGCGAAGAUAAUGACGGUAUCAUAGGAGGAAGCCCUGGCUAAAUACGUGCCAGCAGCCGCGGUAAUACGUAUGGGGCGUGCGUUGUCCGGAAUUAUUGUGCGUAAAGGGUACGUAGGAGGUUUUUUAAGUCAGGUGUCAAAGCGUGGAGCUUAACUCCAUUAAGCACUUGAAACUGAAAGACUUGAGUGAAGGAGAAGAAAGUGGAAUUCCUAGUGUAGCGGUGAAAUGCGUUGAUAUUAGGAGGAAUGCCGGUGGCGAAGACGACUUUCUUGACUUUUUCUGACGCUAAGGUACGAAAGCGUGGGGAGCAAACAGG